UACGUAGGAGACGAGCGUUGUCCGGAAUUACUGGGCGUAAAGCGCGUGUAGGCGGAUGAGCAAGUCUGCUGUGAAAGCUCCUGGCUUAACCGGGAGUGGUCGGUGGAAACUGCUCGUCUGGAGGACGGUAGAGGUAGGUAGAAUUCCCGGUGUAGUGGUGAAAUGCGUAGAGAUCGGGAGGAAUACCUGUGGCGAAGGCGGCCUACUGGGCCGGACCUGACGCUGAGACGCGAAGGCGUGGGGGAGCAAACAGG
rnacentral:rRNA from 1 species